AAGCAAUCAUGUGUGAAUCUACAGAAAACACAGAUUUCACACUGGAAGGGGACUCUGCAAUGAAGACUUGCUGCAGCAAUGGCAUUGGAACCUCCUUCUUUGGGAUUCUGGCAUCAACUGAAGAUCAGCUAAGACAUCCAGCCUCAUGGAUCAAAUAACUGCCACAUAUUCUUGGCUCUUCUGUUCAUGGGACACCAUUGUUGGAUUAGGUGAACCACAGCCUUCAACCUGAUGUUUCAAAUGUCUAUACAACAAUGAGAAAUACAGCCUGACUCAUAUGACACACACACUCUCCUAAAGAGAUGGAAAUUCCAUGUCUUCACUGUGGCUUCUGGUUUUCUGUCUGAUGAUGUUGACUACUAUGAAAUAUUAUCACACAGACAUCACCGCUAUCAUCCUCGGCCUCCAGGAAGGAAAGCGUGCAGGUGUUUGUGCCACAAGUGCUCGAGUUUGCAAGGUGGUUUAUAAUUCUAACAAAUGCAACAUCCAACCUGUCUCCAUGAGUGUCUUGACAACAUGGCAUUUCCUGGACAUCUUUCUUAAGGCAUAAGAACAGUGGCCGCCUCUUGUGUUCCGGGAGGGGUUGCAGAAAAUCCCCUGACUUUGCCUAUGUAUAUUUAUUAGAAGAGCUGGAUUAAAAAAUAAUAAUUUCGUAGGCUGACUUCUGCCUACGCAGACCCACAUGUGAGGACUCUGCCGUGAAGUUCUGGGCAUCACUUUCUUCAUUGCUACAACUGAGCAUGAGCUAUUUGCCUAUUCUCUAAGUCACCUCAUAUGCCAAGGAGAAAGUCCCAGAGGAAGCAGGGGUGAUGGACCUCAGAAACUUUCCAUUAGGUGAAAGAAGCCAGAUUUAAAACACACACACAGGCCAAGAUUCCUCUCCCAUAAAAUGUCCAGAACAGUGUGUCUGCUUAAAUCUGUACAGAGACCAGGAGUUUGCUGAAAAUUGGCCCAAGGAAUGCUGGGGGAUGAGGACGGUUCAGAACCAGAUUGUGGUGGCUGAACAGCUCUGUAUAUUUAGUAAGCAUAGCUGAGCUUUUAUUCCAUAUAUAAUUAUAGAAGAUACUGUGUUCAGAAAAAAAAUCAGAGAAUUGGCUCCUAAGUGCCCACAUACAUGCAACAAAAUAAAUAAAGAAAAGAAUUUGCUUAGUUUUAUGUUUCAGUAAGAGCUGUGAGUGAGCAUACUGUCAUGCCGUGCUCAAACUGAACAAUGGACUCUUUCAAAGCCUGCAGGCUUCACAUUGCUCAGAUUUGCAAAUAAGGUCCAAGUAAUUUUAUUGUAACUGCCCAUUUUAAACGCUGUUCAGGAAUGGCAUGCUCUCAAUCACUCAGUGCAAUCGUUUUAACUUUUUACUCCAAAAUAAUCUUAAGCUUAGAAGGCUUACAGUGGUGCACGCACCUGUCUUUCUAGCACCAGGAAGGUUGGGGCAGGAGAUUGAGA